rnacentral:rRNA from 1 species
GAUGAACGCUAGCGGCAGGCUUAAUACAUGCAAGUCGAGGGGCAGCACGGUGUAGCAAUACAUGGGUGGCGACCGGCAAACGGGUGCGGAACACGUACAGAACCUUCCUCAGAGCGGGGGAUAGCCCAGAGAAAUUUGGAUUAAUACCCCAUAGGAUAGUGGAGUGGCAUCACUCAGCUAUUAAAGAUUUAUCACUUUGAGAUGGCUGUGCGUCUGAUUAGGUAGUUGGUGAGGUAACGGCUCACCAAGCCGACGAUCAGUAACUGGUGUGAGAGCACGACCAGUCACACGGGCACUGAGACACGGGCCCGACUCCUACGGGAGGCAGCAGUAAGGAAUAUUGGUCAAUGGACGCAAGUCUGAACCAGCCAUGCCGCGUGGAGGAUGAAGGUCCUCUGGAUUGUAAACUUCUUUUAUCUGGGACGAAAAAAGGGAAUUCUUUCUCGUCUGACGGUACCAGAUGAAUAAGCACCGGCUAACUCCGUG